rnacentral:rRNA from 1 species
AUGCAUGUAACCGAAUCAUGUAUUAAUGUGAGGCACUACAUAUACUUGCCUAUCUCUUUCCAGAAGCACAACCCUCUUGAUCCAACUAGGAACAUCAAAACCAAAUGGGAAAUCAUUGAGUGGACUUCAGAUGGCCAUGCUGAUAAUCUGACACCUAAUAAGGACCAAGAGAACAACAGAGAUGCUAAGAGGGAACCUUUUGGGUUUAAGGAUAUAAACAACAUGGCUUACGAGGAUUUGAACUGCUAUUCUUUUAGUUCCACUCUUAAAUGUUUUGGUUCUUGA